rnacentral:rRNA from 1 species
CUACGGGGCGCACCAGUGGGGAAUAUUGCACAAUGGGCGCAAGCCUGAUGCAGCCAUGCCGCGUGUAUGAAGAAGGCCUUCGGGUUGUAAAGUACUUUCAGCGGGGAGGAAGGGAGUAAAGUUAAUACCUUUGCUCAUUGACGUUACCCGCAGAAGAAGCACCGGCUAACUCCGUGCCAGCAGCCGCGGUAAUACGGAGGGUGCAAGCGUUAAUCGGAAUUACUGGGCGUAAGGCGCACGCAGGCGGUUUGUUAAGUCAGAUGUGAAAUCCCCGGGCUCAACCUGGGAACUGCAUCUGAUACUGGCAAGCUUGAGUCUCGUAGAGGGGGGUAGAAUUCCAGGUGUAGCGGUGAAAUGCGUAGAGAUCUGGAGGAAUACCGGUGGCGAAGGCGGCCCCCUGGACGAAGACUGACGCUCAGGUGCGAAAGCGUGGGGAGCAAACAGGAUUAGAUACCCCCGUAGUC